rnacentral:rRNA from 1 species
AACGAACGCUGGCGGCAUGCCUAACACAUGCAAGUCGAACGAUCCCUUCGGGGAUAGUGGCGCACGGGUGCGUAACGCGUGGGAACCUGCCCUUAGGUUCGGAAUAACUCAGAGAAAUUUGAGCUAAUACCGGAUAAUGUCUUCGGACCAAAGAUUAAUCGCCUUGGGAUGGGCCCGCGUUGGAUUAGCUAGUUGGUGGGGUAAAGGCUCACCAAGGCGACGAUCCAUAGCUGGUCUUAGAGGAUGAUCAGCCACACUGGGACUGAGACACGGCCCAGACUCCUACGGGAGGCGGCAGUGGGGAAUAUUGGACAAUGGGCGAAAGCCUGAUCCAGCAAUGCCGCGUGAGUGAUGAAGGCCCUAGGGUUGUAAAGCUCUUUUACCAGGGAUGAUAAUGACAGUACCUGGAGAAUAAGCUCCGGCUAACUCCGUGCCAGCCGCCGCGGUAAGAC